rnacentral:rRNA from 1 species
CCUACGGGUGGCAGCAGUGGGGAAUAUUGGACAAUGGGCGAAAGCCUGAUCCAGCCAUGCCGCGUGUGAGAAGAAGGCCUUCGGGUUGUAAAGCACUUUCAGUGGGGAAGAAAGCCUUGGGGCUAAUACCCUCGAGGAAGGACAUCACCCACAGAAGAAGCACCGGCUAACUCCGUGCCAGCAGCCGCGGUAAUACGGAGGGUGCGAGCGUUAAUCGGAAUUACUGGGCGUAGAGCGCGCGUAGGCGGUCUGAUAAGCCGGUUGUGAAAGCCCCGGGCUCAACCUGGGAACGGCAUCCGGAACUGUCAGGCUAGAGUGCAGGAGAGGAAGGUAGAAUUCCCGGUGUAGCAGUGAAAUGCGUAGAGAUCGGGAGGAAUACCAGUGGCGAAGGCGGCCUUCUGGACUGACACUGACGCUGAGGUGCGAAAGCGUGGGUAGCAAACAGGAUUAGAUACCCUAGUAGUC